rnacentral:rRNA from 1 species
UACGUAGGGUGCAGGCGUUAAUCGGAAUUACUGGGCGUAAAGGGCGCGCAGGCGGCUCAUUUUGUCAGGCGUGAAAGCCCCGGGCUUAACCUGGGAACUGCGUUUGAUACGGAUGGGCUAGAGUUCGGGAGAGGAGAGUGGAAUUCCCAGUGUAGAGGUGAAAUUCGUAGAUAUCUGGAGGAACACCGGUGGCGAAGGCGGCAUCCUGGACCAUUACUGACACUGAAAAGCGAAAUCCAGGGGAGCAAAC